CCUACGGGAGACAGCAGUGGGGAAUAUUGGGCAAUGGGCGCAAGCCUGACCCAGCAACGCCGCGUGAAGGAAGAAGGCUCUCUGGUUGUAAACUUCUUUUAAGGGGGAAGAGCAGAAGACGGUACCCCUUGAAUAAGCCACGGCUAACUACGUGCCAGCAGCCGCGCUAAUAAGUAGGUGGCAAGCGUUGUCCGGAUUUACUGGGUGUAAAGGGCGUGCAGCCGGGGAGACCAGGCAGAUGUGAAAUCCACGGGCUCAAACCGUGACCUGCCGUUGAAACUGUUGCCCUUGAGUGUGGGAGAGGUAAUCGGAAUGCCUGGUGUAGCGGUGAAAUGCGUAGAUAUAACGAAGAACACCAGUGGCGAAGGCGGAAUACUGGACGAUAACUGACGCUGAGGCGCGAAAGCGUGGGGAGCGAACAGGAUUAGAUACCCCAGUAGUC
rnacentral:rRNA from 1 species